rnacentral:lncRNA from 1 species
AUGGUGGCACUUCCAGAGUCGGAUCGCGCCGCCUGGAACUACAACUCCCAGCAGCCUGCGCGGCACGUCCUGGUCGACGCCGGGGGAGCGGCCGCCAUUGUCCGCGGCGGAGGUGAGGCGGUCGCCGGGGUGGUGGGGCGGCUGCCGCCCGGAGGGCCCAAGGGUCGGGAGGACACGCUGGGAGAGGCGGCGUCUGCCUUUGGUGCCGGCGCGGCGCCUGGGCCGGUCGAGCGCCUGCCCUCUCCGUGCCGGCUUCGCGCCCCCGUUUCCCUCAGCCCUCCGACCCCCGCCUCCCGCCUCCCGCCUGGGCUCGCGGCCGCGCUGGGUCGCCUGGGCGGCCCCGGGGAGCCCCGCACGCCCGGCCUGGGGUCGGGUCGCGGCCGCCGGCCCAGCGCGUCUUUGUCUCUCAGGCCUCGCGGGGCUCCCAGGCGCACCGCAGGGCCGAGCCUCGGCGCAGAACAAAAGCCCCGGCGCGUGCCGAGUGGCCUGCGGAGAGCGGGUCCGGGAGCCGCGGGCAGGUUGUAUUGCAGUUGCUCUCUGUGCAUCACCGAAUUCAUUGUUGCUGGGCAGGUGCCUGUUUGGUUAAUCCUGUGGGAUGGCGGCCGUCAACCCGUGGGCCUCCUGGGGUGUCCUUACAGAUGA